rnacentral:lncRNA from 1 species
GGUCAGCCACCAGGGAAUAGAGUGUCUUGUCCCCCAGUGAGCCUGUCCAGGACCUGAGAUGAUGGAGGGAGGCUCUAGUGAAGGCCCAUCCAGCCCUCCCUCCACCACAGCACACCAGAGAAGUACCUCUGGCCCCCUGCACCCACCCCUUUCUCCCACACAGGUGUGCUCCUUCCCUUCAGUUCCCUCCACCUUAGAACCACCGCCGUUACCUGUGGAUGGUGUCCAGACCCGUCAAGGGCACUCGGGCUAAAGAGGUUGCUAAGACCUGCCUGAGAUCCCGCAGACGCCAACGGAUGAGCUUUCCAAAUGAUACACGACAGAACUCUUCACACGUUGAGCUUCUCUAGGGCAAUAAAAGAGGAUUUGAUCAUUAUCUGGUCUUGCAGGUGUAACUACAACCGGAGCUUAAAGUCAAGAACUAGCAAGUCUGUAAUGAUAAGAUGGUGGCCAACACUCUGUCACCCCAUCUUCCCGGACCACAAAGAAAAACCAGCCAAGGGCCACGGUAUCGGCCUUCCCCACAGUGACACCAAGUGACACCUGCACGGAUGAUGCCCUCACACCCCUGGCUGGGCCAGAGUGGCUGAAGUUGGCACUUGACUCAAGGAUCGCCCGCCACCUGUGAAGUGGCCCAUGGGAAAAGGGGCUCUUGGACAUGUGGCCUCGCCCAGAUGAUCUGAAGCAAGACGUAUGAUGAGAAAGAAGCAGAGGACAACAGCGGCUGACGCCAAGGGGAAGCCAGGGGACCGGCCUUGAGAGAAAUUCUGGGGCAGAGCCAGGGAGGGAAUGGCCGGCCUGGCUGGGACGAGUGAGGGGGGCACCGCACGAGGAGAGGGGACAGAGCCUGAUAGUAAGCAGGAGUGAAGACACGGGCUCCGUCGUUCCAGAACGCCAGCGGCUCCCAGCUUCCUACCACAAAUUGUUUCAAUUACUUAAGAUAACUGCAGUGUGUUCAUGUGUCUUCCAACUCAAAUAAACCUUGAACAAUUAACAACAACAAUGGCCAAAACGUGUAUAGUCAUUGGGAAGUAACAGGAUACCUAACAGUGGCUUGAACAAACAGGGCUUAAGUUUCUAACAUUUUUGAGAUCCAGGGAGAGGUGUGUGCAGGAAUCAGCUGAGUGUCUUUGCAACAAUCUUGACUGUUCCCUGAAGGACGCGAGGUGGCUGGGCAGGGCCGGUUCUCCAUGUGGGGAGUGGUGGGGCCGCAGCUGAGCCCUCAGCAGGGCGGGGACGGCAGAGCUUUACCCCACACCCCCACAGCAGGCUCCGCACACCUCUAACUGGCCAGAGCUGGGUCACGCGGCCGCCCCAGCAGCAAGGGAGCCAGGAACGUGGGUGGGUGCAAAGGGCACUGUCAAUCCUCUGAUACUCUCCCCAUUUCUGUCCCCCUCUCCCCUCCGAUGUAUUUCUGCUUCCGAUGGCCUGGCCUCCCAAUGACCUGGGGCUCCAGUGCACUGCCCACAGCCUACUGGAGCUAUUUUGCCUACUGGUGUGUGGAGGCAGAGAUGCCUCAACAACCAGUUGGUGUGGGAUGACGAAAGCCCCGCUCCCCUGCUUCCACCUGGGACUCACGGGGCGUGCAGUCCCCAUCAGGGGUCUCCAGGAACCAGGCUGAGCUGGGACUGUCGACCCCUGUUUGGCCUCACUUGCCCCACAUUCUUCUCAGCCUUCCCCUGCUCUGCUGCUUAUACACAGAUCCCCCCUCAGGGCUGCUCCCCUGGGAACCCAGCUAAGAGCAGGGGGAGCAGGAUUAUCAUGAUGGGUUAGACCAAUCACGCUCCAUUGCCUGGGGCUGACAAGUACACAAGUGGGGCUCCGUGAGCCAGGAAGGAGGGAAAGGAUGUAGGCAGUCGGCUCGUGUUGUCCUGCAGCCACAGCUCAUCACAGGAAAACGUGAGCAGAGAACUUGGAUCCUUCACACACUGCCAGUGCGAAGGUACAAUGGUGCGGCCACCUUGGAAAACAGUCUGGCAUCUCUCAAAAAUUUAGAGUGACCCGCGACCAGCACUCCACACUCCUAGAGACAUGAAAACAUACAUCCCCACCAAAACUUGUGCAUGAAUAUUCGUGGCAGCAUUGCUCAUUAUAGCCAAGAAGUAGAAACAACCCAAACAUCUAUCAACUGAUAAAUGGGUAAAUAAAAUGUUGCACUAUCCAUACAAUGAAAUAUGACACAGAUAUAAAGAAGGAUGAAGGGGGCAGCCCAGGUGGCUCAGCAGUUUAGCAGCAGCCUUCAGCCUAGGGAGUGAUCCUGGAGCCCUGGGAUCGGUCCCGCAUCGGGCUCCCUGUAUGGAGCCUGCUUCUCCCUCUGCCUGCCUGUGUCUCUGCCGCUGUGUGUGUGUGUGUGUGUGUGUGUGUCAUUAAUAACUAAAUAAAAUCUUGAAAAAAAAAAAAGGAUGAAGUACUGACACACACCAUAGUAUGGAUGAACCUUGAAAACAUUACACCAAGAGGCCAGACACAAAAGGCUACAUACAAUACGAUUGGAUUUCUAUGAAAUGUCCAAAAGAGAGAAACCCAGAGACAGCAGAUGGAUGCUGCCAGAGGCCCGAGGACAGGCUGGGUGGAUGGGGGAUGAGGGCUUGUGGGGAUAGGGGAUUGUGGGGAGAGUUGCAUGCUUCUGAAUAUACUAAAAACCAUUUGACUGUAUAUUUUAAAAGUGUGAAUGGGGGGCACGUGGGUGGCUCAGUUGGUUAAGGCCCUGCCUUCGGCUCAGGUCAUGAUCUCAGGGUCCUGCGAUUGAGCCCCACAUUGGGCCCCCUGCUCAGAGGGGAAUCUGCUUCCCCCAUCCCUCUGUCCAUGCCCCUGUUGGUUCUCUCUCUCUCUCUCUCUCUCUGUCUCAAAAACAUAAA